rnacentral:rRNA from 1 species
GUGGGGAAUUUUGGACAAUGGGCGCAAGCCUGAUCCAGCAAUGCCGCGUGUGUGAAGAAGGCCUUCGGGUUGUAAAGCACUUUUGUCCGGAAAGAAAUCUCCUGGGUUAAUACCUCGGGGGGAUGACGGUACCGGAAGAAUAAGCACCGGCUAACUACGUGCCAGCAGCCGCGGUAAUACGUAGGGUGCGAGCGUUAAUCGGAAUUACUGGGCGUAAAGCGUGCGCAGGCGGCUAUGCAAGACAGAUGUGAAAUCCCCGGGCUCAACCUGGGAACUGCAUUUGUGACUGCAUGGCUAGAGUGCGUCAGAGGGAGGUGGAAUUCCGCGUGUAGCAGUGAAAUGCGUAGAGAUGCGGAGGAACACCGAUGGCGAAGGCAGCCUCCUGGGAUGACACUGACGCUCAUGCACGAAAGCGUGGGGAGCAAACAGGAUUAGAUACCCGGGUAGUCC